AGAUACCAUGGUAGUCCACGCCGUGAACGAUGUCGACCAGCCGUUGGGUGCCUAGCGCACUUUGUGGCGAAGUUAACGCGAUAAGUCGACCGCCUGGGGAGUACGGCCGCAAGGUUAAAACUCAAAUGAAUUGACGGGGGCCCGCACAAGCGGUGGAGCAUGUGGUUUAAUUCGAUGCAACGCGAAGAACCUUACCUACUCUUGACAUCCUGCGAAUUCGGUAGAGAUACCUUAGUGCCUUCGGGAACGCAGAGACAGGUGCUGCAUGGCUGUCGUCAGCUCGUGUUGUGAAAUGUUGGGUUAAGUCCCGUAACGAGCGCAACCUGCUUGUCCUUAUUUGCCAGCGCGUAAUGGCGGGAACUCUAAGGAGACUGCCGGUGACAAACCGGAGGAAGGUGGGGACGACGUCAAGUCAUCAUGGCCCUUACGAGUAGGGCUACACACGUGCUACAAUGGUCGGUACAAAGGGUUGCGAGCUCGCGAGAGUCAGCCAAUCCCGAAAAGCCGAUCUCAGUCCGGAUCGGAGUCUGCAACUCGACUCCGUGAAGUCGGAAUCGCUAGUAAUCGUAGAUCAGAAUGCUACGGUGAAUACGUUCCCGGGCCUUGUACACACCGCCCGUCACACCAUGGGAGUGGACUGCACCAGAAGUGGUUAGCCUAACGCAAGAGGGCGAUCACCACGG
rnacentral:rRNA from 1 species